rnacentral:ncRNA from 2 species
AAUAUUUUAAACGGGAGCUUGUGUUACAGGCUGAGAGGAAGGUGUAACCUUCGACCGAUAACCUGAUUUGGGUAAUGCCAACGUAGGGAUGACUAAAAUACGCAAU